UACGUAGGGACCAAGCGUUGUCCGGAAUCAUUGGGCGUAAAGAGCGUGUAGGCGGCUUGUUAAGUCUUGCGUGAAAUCUCGGGGCUCAACCCCGAGCGGUCGUGAGAAACUGGCAGGCUAGAGUGCGGGAGAGGAGAGUGGAAUUCCUGGUGUAGCGGUGAAAUGCGUAGAUAUCGGAAGGAACACCAGUGGCGAAAGCGGCUUCCUGGUCCAGCACCGACGUUCAGGCACGAAAGCGUGGGGAGCAAACAGG
rnacentral:rRNA from 1 species